UGUUUUCACGAUGAGGUUACAAAGCUCCCUCUUCUGAUAUAUUAAGUUGAGGAAAAUUGCUGGCAGAAUCGAACCUAAAUAAAUCUAGCCAUCACUGAGUGA